rnacentral:rRNA from 1 species
UACAGAGGUCCCAAGCGUUGUUCGGAUUCACUGGGCGUAAAGGGUGCGUAGGUGGCCGGGUAAGUCUGACGUGAAAUCUCCGAGCCUAACUCGGAAACUGCAUCGGAUACUAUCCGGCUUGAGGAUUGGAGGGGGGACUGGAAUACUUGGUGUAGCAGUGAAAUGCGUAGAUAUCAAGUGGAACACCAGUGGCGAAGGCGAGCCCCUGGACAAUUCCUGACACUGAGGCACGAAAGCUAGGGGAGCAAACAGG